rnacentral:rRNA from 1 species
AUGUCCGGCGGUCGACGCGGCGGCGGGCCUCCCGGCAGCGGCGACAACCCCGGUCCAGGGGGUGGUUGGGAGACCAUUGAGAAUAAGAAGAAGAAGUCAGGGCAAACAUGGGCGCCACGGACUUCAUCCUCAAAUGCUCCACCCGCUACAGCAAGGCAAGCUUGGAAUGGCAAUGGAUCUUCGCGUCCUUCAGGAAAUAAUUCGGCUCAACCUUCUGGUCGUGGUCCUGCUGCCAGACACAAUCCCAGGGUAUCAUCACAAGCAAGGUUUACAGAACCAGGAUUGCAAGCGCCAAACCCAGCUGUCACCCCACCUCUGGUAAAUGGUUGGCAGUGGGCAUCAAGGCCUCGCCCAUGUCGUCCUCGAAGCAACAACGAUGAUGAUGUUGCUUCAUCUGGUUUCGACCCUGAGAUGGAUGAUCCUCAAGUCGAGGACUCGUCAGAUGAUGAUGAUCUUAAUGAUGAUGAUGAUGACAUGAGCGAUGACUAUGAUUCCGAUGCAUCGGAGAAAAGUUUCGAAACCCGAAAAACAAACAAGUGGUUCAAAAGUUUCUUUCAGGAGAUCAACACCUUAAGUGUGGAUCAGAUACAUGAGCGACAAUCGCAUUGUCCGGCAUGCCAAAAUGGACCAGGAGCAAUUGCCUGGUUCAAAGGGCUGGAAUCUUUGGUCAGACAUGCUAGAACAAUGGGUUCUAGGAGGGUUAAGCUCCACAGGGAAUUGGCUGCAUUGCUGGAAGAGGAGAUGUCUCGCAGGGGGUCUUCUGUGGUACAGCCCGGCGAGCACUUUGGGAAAUGGAACGGAUUGGCAGAAAGCACUGACCAGCAGAUAGUAUGGCCGCCAAUGGUGAUUGUGAUGAACACAAGACUGGAAAAGGGUGAAGAUGAUAAGUGGUUAGGCAUGGGCAACCAAGAGCUACUCGAAUAUUUCAGUGCUUAUGCUGUGGCCAAAGCACGUCAUGCAUACGGUCCAGUUGGGCACCGUGGCAUGAGUGUGCUAAUAUUUGAAAGCUCUGCCGUGGGCUAUACUGAGGGGGAACGUCUGGAUAAGCACUUUGUUGAUCAAAGAACACACAGGUACAAUUAUAUGCAAAAACACAGGGCUCUUUUCUUACCAGGUGGGAUAAGACAAUUAUAUGGUUUCCUAGCCACAAAGGAAGACAUGGAGGAUUUCAAUAAACACCACCAAGGGAAAAGCCGCCUGAAAUAUGAGAUGAGAUCUCAUAAUGAGAUGGUAGUGGCCCCGAUGAAAAAAAUGAGUGAAGAUAAUCAAGAACUCACUUAUGUGAAGAACAAGGGGGUUAAGACAGAGCAACGCUCUAAAGUUGUACAAGGAACCCUGGACGUUGUUACCCAGAAACUUCGAGAGACCGAGGAAGAGAAUAUAUUCGUCAGGCGUAAAGCUAAAGAGAAGCACUCUGAGUACGAGGAAGAGAUGAAGUCCCAAGAGAAAUUCUUCCAUGAUCAGAUAGAAAACAUUCACAAGGCCCUAGAGGACAAGGAAAGGGAGUUUGAGAGGUUGCUGCAGGAGGAGCGUGCCAAGGCUAGACAGUGUGACGUGGAUUCUGGGACUACCGAAAAUCGCAGGCUAAGGAAGGAACAGGUACAGCGGUUCAUAGAUUGCCAGGUUAAGGACGUGCAGGAGUUCGAGGCUGAAGCAGACCAACUGAUAAAAGCACAUGAGGAAAAGAAGGUGCAGCUCAAGAAAGAGUACGCGGCAAAGGAGGUGGAGCUCGAGAAGGAGUUUGAUGCCGCUUUUACCGGUCUGAUGGAGAAACACAAGCCCGGCACCUUCCAGGCCUCCAACAGCUCUUGA